rnacentral:rRNA from 1 species
AAUGAACGUUGGCGGCAUGGAUUAGGCAUGCAAGUCGGGGGAAUCCCAGCAAUGGGGGAACCGGCGUAAGGGGCAGUAAGGCAUGGGUACCUACCUUGGGAUUCGGGAUAGCCAUCAGAGAUGGUGGGUAAUACCGGAUGACGUCGUGAGACCAAAGAUUUAUCGCCCUUAGAGGGGCCCAUGGGAUAUUAGCCAGUUGGGGGGGUAACGGACCACCAAGGCGAAGAUGGCUAGCGGGUGUGAGAGGACGACCCGCGCCACUCGCACUGAGACACUGGCGAGACACCUACGGGUGGCUGCAGUCGAGGAUCUUCGGCAAUGAGCGCAAGCUUGACCGAGCGAUGCCGCGUGAGCGAUGAAGGCCUUCGGGCUGUAAAGCUCUUUAGUGGGGGAGAAAAGCCGCAAGGUGUGAUCUAUCCCAAAAAUAAGCACGGGCUAAGUUCGUGCCAGCCGCCGCCAUAA